GAAGGGGUUAAAGUUAGACUGCUAACCUAACAACCCAAAACUAACAUUUUGGCCACUUCUA
rnacentral:tRNA from 1 species